rnacentral:rRNA from 1 species
UACGUAGGGGGCAAGCGUUGUCCGGAAUCAUUGGGCGUAAAGCGCGUGUAGGCGCCAGAAAAGUCCGCUGUGAAAACUCGAGGCUCAACUUCGAGCUGUCGGUGGAAACUUUCUGGCUAGAGUCCGGAAGAGGAGAAUGGAAUUCCUGGUGUAGCGGUGAAAUGCGCAGAUAUCAGGAAGAACACCCGUGGCGAAGGCGGUUCUCUGGGACGGUACUGACGCUGAGGAGCGAAAGCGUGGGGAGCGAACAGG